rnacentral:rRNA from 1 species
AUACAAUGAAGAGUUUGAUCCUGGCUCAGGAUGAACGCUAGCUACAGGCUUAACACAUGCAAGUCGAGGGGCAGCAUGAUCGAAGCUUGCUUUGAUUGAUGGCGACCGGCGCACGGGUGAGUAACGCGUAUCCAACCUUCCCCAUAGUAGAGAAUAGCCCGGCGAAAGUCGGAUUAAUGCUCUAUGUUGUAUCAUGAGGACAUCUGAAUAAUACCAAAGGUUUACCGCUAUGGGAUGGGGAUGCGUCUGAUUAGGUUGUUGGCGGGGUAACGGCCCACCAAGCCCACGAUCAGUAGGGGUUCUGAGAGGAAGGUCCCCCACAUUGGAACUGAGACACGGUCCAAACUC